rnacentral:rRNA from 1 species
CGGUGUUUAACUGGCGUGAUGUGGGACGUCCUACCGGUGGGCUUAGCCUCGCGAGGGGCGGCCCAACUAAUAUCCCGUCGCGGUGCUCUUUACUGAGUGUCGAGUCGGGCCGGUACGUUUACUUUGAACAAAUUAGAGUGCUUAAAGCAGGCUAUCCUCGCCUGAAUACUGCGUGCAUGGAAUAAUGGAAUAGGACCUCGGUUCUAUUUUGUUGGUUUUCGGAACCCCGAGGUAAUGAUUAAUAGGGACAGAUGGGGGCAUUCGUAUUGCGACGUUAGAGGUGAAAUUCUUGGAUCGUCGCAAGACGGACAGAAGCGAAAGCAUUUGCCAAAAAUGUUUUCAUUAAUCAAGAACGAAAGUUAGAGGUUCGAAGGCGAUCAGAUACCGCCCUAGUUCUAACCAUAAACGAUGCCAGCUAGCGAUCCGCCGAAGUUCCUCCGAUGACUCGGCGGGCAGCUUCCGGGAAACCAAAGCUUUUGGGUUCCGGGGGAAGUAUGGUUGCAAAGCUGAAACUUAAAGGAAUUGACGGAAGGGCACCACCAGGAGUGGAGCCUGCGGCUUAAUUUGACUCAGCACGGGAAACCUCACCAGGCCCAGACACCGGAAGGAUUGACAGAUUGAUAGCUCUUUCUUGAUUCGGUGGGUGGUGGUGCAUGGGCCGUUCUUAGUUGGUGGAGCGAUUUGUCUGGUUAAUUCCGAUAACGAACGAGACUCUAGCCUGCUAAAUAGGCGUACCUUAUGGUAUCGCGAAGGCCCCCGGCUUCGGCCGGUGGGUUUUUACUACCAACGUACAAACAAAUCUUCUUAGAGGGACAGGCGG